rnacentral:rRNA from 1 species
CUGGCGGCAGCCUAUACAUGCAGUCGAGCGGACAGAUGGGAGCUUGCUCCCUGAUGUUAGCGGCGGACGGGUGAGUAACACGUGGGUAACCUGCCUGUAAGACUGGGAUAACUCCGGGAAACCGGGGCUAAUACCGGAUGCUUGUUUGAACCGCAUGGUUCAAACAUAAAAGGUGGCUUCGGCUACCACUUACAGAUGGACCCGCGGCGCAUUAGCUAGUUGGUGAGGUAAUGGCUCACCAAGGCGACGAUGCGUAGCCGACCUGAGAGGGUGAUCGGCCACACUGGGACUGAAACACGGCCCAAACUCCUACGGGAGGCAGCAGUAGGGAAUCUUCCGCAAUGGACGAAAGUCUGACGGAGCAACGCCGCGUGAGUGAUGAAGGUUUUCGGAUCGUAAAGCUCUGUUGUUAGGGAAGAACAAGUACCGUUCGAAUAGGGCGGUACCUUGACGGUACCUAACCAGAAAGCCACGGCUAACUACGUGCCAGCAGCCGCGGUAAUACGUAGGUGGCAAGCGUUGUCCGGAAUUAUUGGGCGUAAAGGGCUCGCAGGCGGUUUCUUAAGUCUGAUGUGAAAGCCCCCGGCUCAACCGGGGAGGGUCAUUGGAAACUGGGGAACUUGAGUGCAGAAGAGGAGAGUGGAAUUCCACGUGUAGCGGUGAAAUGCGUAGAGAUGUGGAGGAACACCAGUGGCGAAGGCGACUCUCUGGUCUGUAACUGACGCUGAGGAGCGAAAGCGUGGGGAGCGAACAGGAUUAGAUACCGUGGUAGUCCACGCGUAAACGAUGAGUGCUAAGUGUUAGGGGGUUUCCGCCCCUUUAGUGCUGCAGCUAACGCAUUAAGCACUCCGCCUGGGGAGUACGGUCGCAAGACUGAAACUCAAAGGAAUUGACGGGGGCCCGCACAAGCGGUGGAGCAUGUGGUUUAAUUCGAAGCAACGCGAAGAACCUUACCAGGUCUUGACAUCUUCUGACAAUCCUAGAGAUAGGACGUCCCCUUCGGGGGCAGAGUGACAGGUGGUGCAUGGUUGUCGUCAGCUCGUGUCGUGAGAUGUUGGGUUAAGUCCCGCAACGAGCGCAACCCUUGAUCUUAGUUGCCAGCAUUCAGUUGGGCACUCUAAGGUGACUGCCGGUGACAAACCGGAGGAAGGUGGGGAUGACGUCAAAUCAUCAUGCCCCUUAUGACCUGGGCUACACACGUGCUACAAUGGACAGAACAAAGGGCAGCGAAACCGCGAGGUUAAGCCAAUCCCACAAAUCUGUUCUCAGUUCGGAUCGCAGUCUGCAACUCGACUGCGUGAAGCUGGAAUCGCUAGUAAUCGCGGAUCAGCAUGCCGCGGUGAAUACGUUCCCGGGCCUUGUACACACCGCCCGUCACACCACGAGAGUUUGUAACAACCCGAAAGUCGGUGAGGUAACUUUUUAGGAGCCAGCCGCCGAAGUGGAUAGAAU